AGUCACGAGUUUGAUCCUGGCUCAGAUUGAACGCUGGCGGAAUGCUUUACACAUGCAAGUCGAACGGUAGGAGGGGGCAACCCUUGAGAGUGGCGAACGGGUGAGUAAUAUAUCGGAACGUGCCCAGUCGUGGGGAUAACGUAGCGAAAGUUACGCUAAUACCGCAUACGAUCUAAGGGUGAAAGCGGGGGAUCGCAAGACCUCGCGCGAUUGGAGCGGCCGAUAUCAGAUUAGGUAGUUGGUGAGGUAAAGGCUCACCAAGCCAACGAUCUGUAGCUGGUCUGAGAGGACGACCAGCCACACUGGAACUGAGACACGGUCCAGACUCCUACGGGAGGCAGCAGUGGGGAAUUUUGGACAAUGGACGCAAGUCUGAUCCAGCCAUUCCGCGUGCAGGAUGAAGGCCCUCGGGUUGUAAACUGCUUUGUACGGAACGAAAAGGUUUGUCUUAAUACGAUGAGCUCAUGACGGUACCGUAAGAAUAAGCACCGGCUAACUACGUG
rnacentral:rRNA from 1 species